UCUCGAAACAACCAGAGUGCAUUUAUCCUGUAUAAAUAAAUUAUACAUAAAAUAUUCAUUGCUUAUUUUAAGGUCUCGUAUUUUUUUCAAUAACUCGUGUCUCCUUACCAUUAAUUUUAAAUUAAGGAUAUGGCUGUACCCAAGAAAAAUAAAAACUGGGAUUGGGAUGGUCCACUAAAAAAUAGAAUGGGUAAACUUCUCGAGACAGGUUUAUGGAGCGACUUGGUCGUCAUUUUUGGCAAUAAAGAAGAGUUACGUCUCCGCACAUUAGUCCUUCGGGCUGGAUCUCCGAUGUUUGAUAAGAAAAUUACCGCCGCCGUGGAGACGACCGGCCGAUUACAGAUUGAUGACGAGGACCCAAACAUAUUCAAGAUGAUGAUCAAUAAACAUACUGCGAAUUACGAAGCGACAUUUACCGCUCUUACGAAGUUGACGUGAAUACCUCCAAUAAGUAUUGAAUUUGGUAAAUAAUUAACUCGCACACAACGUCAAUAUAUUGUUUUAUUUCUUAAGUACCUGUACACUGGAAAAUCUGAUGUUAACAUGAAUGAUGCCCUCCCCUUGUUGAAGACAGCGUCUGAGUAUGCCAUCCCGGGACUCGUGGUCCAAUGCGAAUCCGCGUUAAAGGGUAAAAUAACCGAUGAAAAUGCUCUCUCUCUAUUUCACGGAGCGAUGGAUUACGCACAUAAGAAUUUGAUCAAGACAUCCCUUGACUACAUAUGCGAAAAUGCUGCAAGUAUCUUAAUACGGGAUGAAUUUGCACAUUUGCGACUGGAAUGUUUGGUAGAAAUAAUUCAGCAAGAUCGCCUUCGUGUCUAGGACGAGAUGGAAGUUUUUGACGCGGUGUAUCGUUGGGGAUCGGAGGAAUGUACUCGACAAAAACUGGACCCUACGGAUACUAAAGAACUGAGAAAAAUCCUUAAAAAGCCACUGCAACAUGUCAGAUUUCCAUUAAUGGAUUCUGCCAAGUUUGCACUUCAUGUCGCGACGAAGAACAUUUUGGACAUGGAGGAGUCCAUGGCUCUACUUAUUUGCUUUCUUGUUCCUCCAGAACAAAGGUAUUAGAUAUAUAUAUAUACACCGUGUUACGAACGAAUCCAGAGCCGGAUUUGAUCGAUCGGAUCACUGUUACAUUUAUAAGUAUGUCCAUACUUAGGACUUUAGUUAUCAUUGUAGUCACAAGAUGGCAAAUUCAUCGUUUGACCCCUAAUUGCAUAAUCUGUCCGUUUAAAUAUUUCUUAACAUGCUAAACCUGACAUGAUCCUCAACAGGCGACAAAAGUUAGAUUAUCACCAGUAUAUUUUCCAAUAGGGGUGCAAUCCCACAGGGUAGGUUUUCGUCGACUCCAAGGGCACAACUUUUGUCAAAGCUAGUUACAGAUAAUGAGGACCCGAACUCCUCAGAUUGAACACCUGAGGAACCAAUAAAUUUUGGAAGCAGCAACUUUGUGGCUCAGCAACAAACAGAAAUUCAUCCAUUGGGAACCUAUUCUCCAAUGUUGAAAACGCAGAAACACCUCCCAACACAACUGACAAAACAAUGGGUUACAUCAAAUUUUAGGAACACUUCAAAUAAAAAUAACUAAAAUUUACUGAAAAUUACUAAAAUUAAAAUAAUGUUAAUUUUUUUAAACGUUACGUUAAAAAUGUCAUCCUUGAACUCCAUGAAAGAACUUAAUGUAAGAAAUCCUUAAAAA